CUCCUUUCUUCCCUUAGUUUUGGAGCAAUAUGUUGCAAGGCAGGACUCAGGGAGUGUGUUGGGGCUGAGAGAAGAAACUGGAAGUUGGCUGUUCCAAGAGUGUUCUUGAAUGGAGAUAUUCAGCCUGCAGUUAGGGUUUCUUGCUAAGUUGUUCCUCUCAUUUCAGCAGAGUGGGAAGUUGAUAUGCACCGCAAAGACACAAGAAGAGAAGGAAGCCUAAGCAUAGAAGAAAAUUUUAAACAAAAUAGAAUUCACCAUGUUGUUUUCUGUACUGCAAGCCCACAGCUCUUUUCUGGGAUGUUCCUUGGGGAGAGAGCAAGCAGGCUUGGCUUUGUGAGGGCUACAAAGGGAAAUGUAAGUGUCACCAGUCAACAUCUGACCAACUUUGAUAUUACACUUCCUGU
ensembl:lincRNA